rnacentral:rRNA from 1 species
AACGAACGCUGGCGGCAUGCCUAACACAUGCAAGUCGAACGAGACCUUCGGGUCUAGUGGCGCACGGGUGCGUAACGCGUGGGAACCUGCCCUUAGGUUCGGAAUAACUCCCCGAAAGGGGUGCUAAUACCGGAUAAUGUCUUCGGACCAAAGAUUUCUCGCCUUUGGAUGGGCCCGCGUUGGAUUAGCCAGUUGGUAGGGUACAAGCCUACCAAGGCGACGAUCCAUAGCUGGUCUGAGAGGAUGAUCAGCCACACUGGGACUGAGACACGGCCCAGACUCCUACGGGAGGCAGCAGUGGGGAAUAUUGGACAAGGGGCGAAAGCCUGAUCCAGCAAUGCCGCGUGAGUGAUGAAGGCCGUAGGGUUGUAAAGCUCUUUUACCCGGGAUGAUAAUGACAGUACCGGGAGAAUAAGCUCCGGCUAACUCCGUG